ensembl:lncRNA uncharacterized LOC114864256
GCCAGAAUAAGUAUCAAAACAGCCAGGAUGCCAACCUGGCUCUUGAGCAAUGUAACUGUAGGAAAUGUCUUUGUUGCCCCACCUACAACUAAACUAGAUCAAGUAGCAGCUUGACAUGUUCAAGCAAAUAGCACUGGAAGAAAAGAACUGUGUGUGUGUACGGCAUUGGGUGUAAAACCGUAGGAAUGCAAGUGGCAAAUUGUCUUCAUUCUUCUACUUGAGGGCAGAUGGCACCUGGCAUUUACACAUCAGCAGGCGCUUGUUUAUUAGCAGCACUGAAAGCCCUGAAAGCGACACUUUCUAGGAAUAAGUGUCGAGCUAUUCAGCUGCUUGCUCUGAUUCUGUCUGUUUUCAGCCUGCGAUCUAUUUAGAUUACGUUGAGCUAACAAGGGGCUUACGUUCCUUCACCAAAACGUUUGCUAUAUGAAGCAACGCUCAACAAUCUUUCAGGGAGAAGAGGGGGAAUUUUAGGAAAAACAUUGAAGCUUUAAACAUUUUAUUAUAAGCAGAUAUUACAGAAUCUGUGGUUUCAUAAACACCCAAUGGGUAGGCCCAAUUAAUAUCCAAAAUGUCCAUUAAAUAAAAUAAACAAAUAUAGUUUCCAAUAACUUCUUUAGCUAUGAAUUUUCUACAUGUAGAAAAAUAGCAAAAUAGUUCGUUUUCACAAUUAUCGAUCUUUCCCUCAACUUCCCCCUUAACUACGGACCCCGGGGCUAAAAUCGGACGCCAACUUCACCCUCGCAACUAGCAACUCACCGUAGCGUUAGCAGCAUGACCCCGGCCGUGAGUCCUCCUCCGCAGCAGCAGCCGCCUCCCUCCGUCGUGGCCCACAAGGUGCAGCUGACCCACAAACUGUUUGAGCUGGAAAAGGCCCGAGAUGCGCUGGAACGAGACCUUCGUGCCUUCACCAACAAGGCCUAUGAAGACGUCCAAAGCUUCUUGAAUUCGUCUUUUCCAACCAUUGUGUUCAAUGAACUAUUGAGCGCUUUGGACAUGAAAUGUCAAACUGUUGACAGAUUGUCAUCGAUACUAAUGGGCCGAACUGUUGAGCCACAAGUCCGGCCCACUGUCAAAAACGGAGAGCGAGGCAACCAAUCACAGCCAGUCAGACACAAAGGGAGACUCAAGACAGAUGUUCUCAAGUUUGGGCCCAUGUUGCAAAAUGUGCUCAUGGUGAGCUCCAUAUCGAAAGCAGUCCAGGUGCUUGGAGCCACGCUGUCCCUUCGGCUGUUAAAACAUUUCCUCAUCUCCCCGUCUGCAGCGAUCCAGGAUGAUGACAUGAUGUGCAGCAUCCCGUCCAGCUACGGCGGAGCCGCUCAGACUACGAGCUUGUCCUGUCAUUUAGGGGCUGGGGGAGAAGAACAAGCUGCGAGGCUCGAGGAGAAAUGCCAAGAGAAUGAUGUGAUUCUGUCACCUGCCAUUAUUCAGAGUGCAGGGAUUGAAGCAGAGGAGCCACCGCCGCUGCUCCUCCCCGCACAAGCUGUAUUCCCAGGGGUCAGUAACCCUAAACCCAUGAAAGUGGACCCACUAAGUAGCUGGAGAAAGGGGGAUGAUGCUGUGGUGCAACACCAAGAACAAGCAUCCACCCAAAUGAUGCAUUUCCUCAGAACCGAAGCUAAAACCUUAAAGUGCACUAAAAGCGUGAAUACUUCAAGUCCUUCGCGGCAAACCUCACCUAACAUGGAAGCACAAAAGUGCCAAUUGAGUCGUGCUGUGACCGAUGAUCUGGGCGACUCACCGCCGCCAAAAGCUUUGUGUGCAGACUUUGAAAACCAAGCCCCUGUUUUCAAAGUAAAACGGGUGGAGUCAAGUGGCUCCUUGACCUACAGCUCUGUGAUCGCAACAAAGACUGAAUUGUGGGACGUCGGCGACAUCUUCACAGAGGUGGCGCGGGUGGAGCGUGGCGACAGCCUCCUGGAGAAACCGCGCGGCCGGAAUCCAACGUCCGACUCCUGCGCAGGCGUCCAAUGCGAGACCCAAAGUCCCCGAAGCGACGCGCUCGGACCUCCGGCUCAAAUGGGCGCCGGGAACAGGACGAACAUCCCAGAGUUUGAAAUCAAAAAGUUUCAAGAGACGGAAGUGAUGGUGUCUCAUGUCAUCAGCCCAGGCAGCUUCUACAUCCAGCCUGCAGACUGCAUCCCGAAGCUGCAGAGCCUCAUCACGGGCAGCAGCAGCAGCAGCUGGAAAGCCACUAGUUCAUAUGCCUCGCAGAACAACAUUCCAGACAUUGGAACCCAAGUCAUGGCUUGGUUCCCUGAGCAAGAACAAUGGUGCCGGGCUCAGGUGACCAAGAUAUGUGGCGUAAGUAGAGGUUUUGAUGCCGAUGGAGGUGGUCCGUCCAUCAGUGUAGAGGUGAAGAGGCUGGACUUUGGUGACACCGCUUGUCUGUCACUGGUAGAUAUUAAGGAGCUGACGCCAGACAUGGCCGUCCUUCCACUUCAAUGUGUACAGGUCUCACUAGCAAACGUGACGCCUGCGAAUGGGACACACUGGUCUGAGGAGGCAGUGUGUUGGUUCAAAGAGAUGGUCAGCCACAGGACGCUCUAUGCCAGAAUUUACCCACAAGGGCCCAGAGUUACAGUUGAGCUGUUCUUGGAGAAAGGAAAGCUUGGAGCCAUGAGGCGGGGCGCGCCGCUGUCACUGAGGCUGGCCGAGAACGGACACGCUACACACAGCAAGCUCAAGAACACUGGUCUGAGAGCUGUUCAACUCAAAGCAAGAGGACGCUACUCUGACUGGGAGAAACACCUCAUCUCCUGCUAUACAUACCAUAAGAAGCAUUUUGUGUAGUUUGUAUCUUCCCUGACAAAUGUAGUGGUUCCAUGUCUGUUUCUUGGGAUCCACAUCAAGAUUGAACCGAGGGAACCUUGAUCCUUACUGACAAACAGCUACAAAACCCCAUGUUAGACACA